GCCUUCGUAGUGUAAUGGUCAGCGCGCUCGGCGCGUAUUCCAGAGAUGUGUGGUUCGAGUCCCGGCGAGGGCA
rnacentral:tRNA from 1 species